rnacentral:lncRNA from 1 species
GGAUAGUGAAGUAUGCUGUAGGAUCUAAGAAAUCUAUGGAUGAGAUAAACCUAAGUAUAUAUGGUAGCUCAGACAAGGUCAUUUUGAAGAGGAUAGAAUAUAUAAACUUGGAAAGGGAUCAUCUUCUUGACAUAUGAAUUCUAAGUUUGUAGAUCUUGCCUUCAAGCAAAAUUAAUCAAACUAUUUUUUGUGGGACAAGGGAGAGGACCACUACAUACAG